ACAUGACUGGGGAGGUGAGGGGGUCUGGGAGUGUCACUUUAACAUCACUUAUAUAUAUAUAGUAAUAAUACAGGGAUAUGACUGGGCAGGUGAGGGAAUCUGGGAGCAUCACUGUGGCAUCACUUAUAUCUAUAGUAAUAAAGGGACAUGACUGGGAAGGUAAGGGGAUCUGGGAAUGUCACAGUGACAUCAUUAAUAUCUAUAGUAAUAAUAGAGGGACAUCAUUGGGGAGGUGAGGGGGACCUGGGAGUGCCACAGUGACAAGAGAAAGAAAGUAGACUUCAUUGUGGGCGCACUCUUGUGAAGAAAUAAUGAGAUAUUCUCAAAAAAUAAAACGUAACUUUUAUUACAAAUGAUUAAGAAAUUAUGCAAUCUCCUGAGAACAAAUAAUGUCUGCCACCUUCCCCCUGGCUGUCUCCUGCCGCCUUUCCCCUGCCUGUCUCUUGCCGCCUUUGCCCUGCCUGUCUCUUGCCGCCUUUUCCCUGCCUGUCUCCUGCCACCUCCACCCUGCAGCCCACCUGCCUGUCUCCUGCAACCUUUCCCCUGCCUGUCACCUGCAACUUUUUCCCUGCCUGUCGCCUGCAACCUUUCCCUUGCCUGUCUCCUGCAGCCUUUCCCAUGCCUGUCUCCUGCCACUUUUCCCCUGCCGGUCUUCUGCCACCCCCUUGCCUGUCUCCUGCCACCUCUGCUACACCAUCGGCUGGAUCUGUGAAUUCUGAGGUUACGGAGACUGUACGCUGCAGCUCCAUGAAUGAGGCCAUGAAAUUUCCCUCAGGAGACCCUGUCCCUUCACAACCAAUUCUCACCCUUACACCACUUCAUGGCUGCAGCCAUACUCGUCUGACAACUCAGGACACAUAGAGCACAUGCUCCGUAUGGGUCGUGCACAUGAGCGGUGUACCGAACAUCAGCUCAUUGUGACUCCACCCACAAUAGCGCUACACUCUAGAUCAGGCCCACUAUGCAGUACAGCCUUAUGGGGCUGGGUCACAGGAACCUCGCAGACACUGACCAGGACUCUAUGGCUGUGGGGAAAUAGGAGACUUAAUGACCACUCUAUUCCAUAUUUACUAUGUUACAUGUGCAAUAUGUUUUAUGUAUUAUAUUUAUUCCAAGGAACUCCAGCUGUGGGGAACGGACACUUUAUUACACAUCACACGUUCUGUAUUCUCUCUGAUUCACCGAGGAUGGACAAGGACAGGAGUCACAGGACUGAGAGGAUAAUAAAUAUCACCCUGGAGAUCAUCUACCUGCUGACUGGGGAGGAUUACACAAUCGUGAAGAAGACAUCCAAUGGGUGUGAGACACCCAGCAGCCAUCCCCAUGUAUCAGGAGGACUGAGAAGAACCCAGAGCCCAAUCACGGUGCCUCCACCUCACUCACUGACACAUGAGAGACACAAUGACAAGAAGAUCCUGGAACUCACCAACAAGAUCAUUCAGCUGCUGACUGGAGAGGAGGGGGAGUAUAUAGAGGAACACAGGGGUCUGUACAAGGACGUGAUGAUGGAGAAUCACCGGCCCCUCACAUCACUGGGUAAGAGGAGACUGUCAUCUAUUGUACAGGGG